UCUUUUCCUGUCAUCAAAAUGAACUAGUGCAUAUUUAGUAUGUUAAUUUUGUAGGCAACUUUUUUACAAAUGAAAGAGGCAGAGAAUACAAGACAACGUGAGGAGAUGCAGCGGCAGCUUUUUGGACUUCAGAGCAUGUUGGCGCAAGUUUUGGAAAAUCACAAUCCACCAAAUUCUCGACAAUAGAUAGUCAUGGUAAUUGGUAAGUGUGUUAAACCAUAUUUGAUUAUAUUUAUGUUCAAAGUAAAGGCAAAUAAACGUUUGAUGAGAAUAUCAUAGAGAAAUGAUUGUCUUUAAACUAA